GGGUUGUGAGGUUAAGCGACUAAGCGUACACGGUGGAUGCCCUGGCAGUCAGAGGCGAUGAAGGGCGUGCUAAUCUGCGAUAAGCGCCGGUAAGGUGAUAUGAACCGUUAUAACCGGCGAUACCCGAAUGGGGAAACCCAGUGUGACUCGUCACACUAUCAUUAACUGAAUCCAUAGGUUAAUGAGGCGAACCGGGGGAACUGAAACAUCUAAGUACCCCGAGGAAAAGAAAUCAACCGAGAUUCCCCCAGUAGCGGCGAGCGAACGGGGAGGAGCCCAGAGCCUGAAUCAGCAUGUGUGUUAGUGGAAGCGUCUGGAAAGGCGCGCGAUACAGGGUGACAGCCCCGUACACAAAAGCGCAUGUGCUGUGAGCUCGAUGAGUAGGGCGGGACACGUGGUAUCCUGUCUGAAUAUGGGGGGACCAUCCUCCAAGGCUAAAUACUCCUGACUGACCGAUAGUGAACCAGUACCGUGAGGGAAAGGCGAAAAGAACCCCGGCGAGGGGAGUGAAAAAGAACCUGAAACCGUGUACGUACAAGCAGUGGGAGCACAGGUUUACCUGUGUGACUGCGUACCUUUUGUAUAAUGGGUCAGCGACUUAUAUUCUGUAGCAAGGUUAACCGAAUAGGGGAGCCGGAGGGAAACCGAGUCUUAACCGGGCGUUAAGUUGCAGGGUAUAGACCCGAAACCCGGUGAUCUAGCCAUGGGCAGGUUGAAGGUUGGGUAACACUAACUGGAGGACCGAACCGACUAAUGUUGAAAAAUUAGCGGAUGACCUGUGGCUGGGGGUGAAAGGCCAAUCAAACCGGGAGAUAGCUGGUUCUCCCCGAAAGCUAUUUAGGUAGCGCCUCGUGAAUUCAUCUCCGGGGGUAGAGCACUGUUUCGGCUAGGGGGCCAUCCCGGCUUACCAACCCGAUGCAAACUGCGAAUACCGGAGAAUGUUAUCACGGGAGACACACGGCGGGUGCUAACGUCCGUCGUGAAGAGGGAAACAACCCAGACCGCCAGCUAAGGUCCCAAAGUCAUGGUUAAGUGGGAAACGAUGUGGGAAGGCCCAGACAGCCAGGAUGUUGGCUUAGAAGCAGCCAUCAUUUAAAGAAAGCGUAAUAGCUCACUGGUCGAGUCGGCCUGCGCGGAAGAUGUAACGGGGCUAAACCAUGCACCGAAGCUGCGGCAGCGACGCUGAUGCGUUGUUGGGUAGGGGAGCGUUCUGUAAGCCUGCGAAGGUGGCCUGUGAGGGUUGCUGGAGGUAUCAGAAGUGCGAAUGCUGACAUAAGUAACGAUAAAGCGGGUGAAAAGCCCGCUCGCCGGAAGACCAAGGGUUCCUGUCCAACGUUAAUCGGGGCAGGGUGAGUCGACCCCUAAGGCGAGGCCGAAAGGCGUAGUCGAUGGGAAACGGGUUAAUAUUCCCGUACUUGGUGUUACUGCGAAGGGGGGACGGAGAAGGCUAUGUUGGCCGGGCGACGGUUGUCCCGGUUUAAGCGUGUAGGCUGGUUUUCCAGGCAAAUCCGGAAAAUCAAGGCUGAGGCGUGAUGACGAGGCACUACGGUGCUGAAGCAACAAAUGCCCUGCUUCCAGGAAAAGCCUCUAAGCAUCAGGUAACAUCAAAUCGUACCCCAAACCGACACAGGUGGUCAGGUAGAGAAUACCAAGGCGCUUGAGAGAACUCGGGUGAAGGAACUAGGCAAAAUGGUGCCGUAACUUCGGGAGAAGGCACGCUGACACGUAGGUGAAGUGAUUUACUCAUGGAGCUGAAGUCAGUCGAAGAUACCAGCUGGCUGCAACUGUUUAUUAAAAACACAGCACUGUGCAAACACGAAAGUGGACGUAUACGGUGUGACGCCUGCCCGGUGCCGGAAGGUUAAUUGAUGGGGUCAGCGCAAGCGAAGCUCCUGAUCGAAGCCCCGGUAAACGGCGGCCGUAACUAUAACGGUCCUAAGGUAGCGAAAUUCCUUGUCGGGUAAGUUCCGACCUGCACGAAUGGCGUAAUGAUGGCCAGGCUGUCUCCACCCGAGACUCAGUGAAAUUGAACUCGCUGUGAAGAUGCAGUGUACCCGCGGCAAGACGGAAAGACCCCGUGAACCUUUACUAUAGCUUGACACUGAACAUUGAGCCUUGAUGUGUAGGAUAGGUGGGAGGCUUUGAAGUGUGGACGCCAGUCUGCAUGGAGCCGACCUUGAAAUACCACCCUUUAAUGUUUGAUGUUCUAACGUGGACCCGUUACCCGGGUUGCGGACAGUGUCUGGUGGGUAGUUUGACUGGGGCGGUCUCCUCCUAAAGAGUAACGGAGGAGCACGAAGGUUGGCUAAUCCUGGUCGGACAUCAGGAGGUUAGUGCAAUGGCAUAAGCCAGCCUGACUGCGAGCGUGACGGCGCGAGCAGGUGCGAAAGCAGGUCAUAGUGAUCCGGUGGUUCUGAAUGGAAGGGCCAUCGCUCAACGGAUAAAAGGUACUCCGGGGAUAACAGGCUGAUACCGCCCAAGAGUUCAUAUCGACGGCGGUGUUUGGCACCUCGAUGUCGGCUCAUCACAUCCUGGGGCUGAAGUAGGUCCCAAGGGUAUGGCUGUUCGCCAUUUAAAGUGGUACGCGAGCUGGGUUUAGAACGUCGUGAGACAGUUCGGUCCCUAUCUGCCGUGGGCGCUGGAGAACUGAGGGGGGCUGCUCCUAGUACGAGAGGACCGGAGUGGACGCAUCACUGGUGUUCGGGUUGUCAUGCCAAUGGCACUGCCCGGUAGCUAAAUGCGGAAGAGAUAAGUGCUGAAAGCAUCUAAGCACGAAACUUGCCCCGAGAUGAGUUCUCCCUGAGACUUAGAGUCUCCUGAAGGAACGUUGAAGACGACGACGUUGAUAGGCCGGGUGUGUAAGCGCAGCGAUGCGUUGAGCUAACCGGUACUAAUGAACCGUGAGGCUUAACCUUACAACGCCGAAG
rnacentral:rRNA from 3 species